rnacentral:rRNA from 1 species
CACCACCAGGAGUGGAGCCUGCGGCUUAAUUUGACUCAACACGGGGAAACUCACCCGGCCCGGACACCGUUAGGAUUGACAGAUUGAGAGCUCUUUCUUGAUUCGGUGGGUGGUGGUGCAUGGCCGUUCUUAGUUGGUGGAGCGAUUUGUCUGGUUAAUUCCGAUAACGAACGAGACUCUAGCCUAUUAACUAGUUCGUCGAUACUGUAGCGUCGACGCAACUUCUUAGAGGGACUGGUGGCGUUUAGCCACACGAGAAUGAGCAAUAACAGGUCUGUGAUGCCCUUAGAUGUCCGGGGCCGCACGCGCGCUACACUGAAGGACUCAGCGAGUAUCCUGGCCAGAAAUGGUCGGGCAACCCAUUGAACCUCCUUCGUGCUAGGGAUUGGGGUUUGCAAUUCUCCCCCAUGAACGAGGAAUUCCCAGUAAGCGCGAGUCAUCAGCUCGCGUUGAUUACGUCCCUGCCCUUUGUACACACCGCCCGUCGCUACUACCGAUUGGAUGGCUUAGUGAGACCCUUGGACUGGUGCUCGAGGAGGCUGGAAACAGCCGAGCCCUGCAUGCCGGGAA